rnacentral:tRNA from 1 species
GAGGGCAUAGCUCAGUGGUAAAAUGCAUGCUUAGCAUGCAUGAGGUCCUGGAUUCAAUCCCCAGUACCCCCC